UGCUUGCACCUCUUGAGAGCGGCGGACGGGUGAGUAAUGCCUAGGAAUCUGCCUGGUAGUGGGGGAUAACGCUCGGAAACGGACGCUAAUACCGCAUACGUCCUACGGGAGAAAGCAGGGGACCUUCGGGCCUUGCGCUAUCAGAUGAGCCUAGGUCGGAUUAGCUAGUUGGUGGGGUAAUGGCUCACCAAGGCGACGAUCCGUAACUGGUCUGAGAGGAUGAUCAGUCACACUGGAACUGAGACACGGUCCAGACUCCUACGGGAGGCAGCAGUGGGGAAUAUUGGACAAUGGGCGAAAGCCUGAUCCAGCCAUGCCGCGUGUGUGAAGAAGGUCUUCGGAUUGUAAAGCACUUUAAGUUGGGAGGAAGGGCAUUAACCUAAUACGUUAGUGUUUUGACGUUACCGACAGAAUAAGCACCGGCUAACUCUGUGCCAGCAGCCGCGGUAAUACAGAGGGUGCAAGCGUUAAUCGGAAUUACUGGGCGUAAAGCGCGCGUAGGUGGUUCGUUAAGUUGGAUGUGAAAGCCCCGGGCUCAACCUGGGAACUGCAUUCAAAACUGUCGAGCUAGAGUAUGGUAGAGGGUGGUGGAAUUUCCUGUGUAGCGGUGAAAUGCGUAGAUAUAGGAAGGAACACCAGUGGCGAAGGCGACCACCUGGACUGAUACUGACACUGAGGUGCGAAAGCGUGGGGAGCAAACAGGAUUAGAUACCCUGGUAGUCCACGCCGUAAACGAUGUCAACUAGCCGUUGGGAGCCUUGAGCUCUUAGUGGCGCAGCUAACGCAUUAAGUUGACCGCC
rnacentral:rRNA from 1 species